rnacentral:rRNA from 1 species
UGGGGAAUUUUGGACAAUGGGCGCAAGCCUGAUCCAGCCAUGCCGCGUGCGGGAAGAAGGCCUUCGGGUUGUAAACCGCUUUUGUCAGGGAAGAAAUCUUCUGAGUUAAUACCUCGGGAGGAUGACGGUACCUGAAGAAUAAGCACCGGCUAACUACGUGCCAGCAGCCGCGGUAAUACGUGGGUGCAAGCGUUAAUCGGAAUUACUGGGCGUAAAGCGUGCGCAGGCGGUUUUGUAAGACAGAGGUGAAAUCCCCGGGCUCAACCUGGGAACUGCCUUUGUGACUGCAAGGCUUGAGUGCGGCAGAGGGGGAUGGAAUUCCGCGUGUAGCAGUGAAAUGCGUAGAUAUGCGGAGGAACACCGAUGGCGAAGGCAAUCCCCUGGCUGCACUGACGCUCAUGCACGAAAGCGUGGGGAGCAAAACAGAUUAGAUACCCCUGGUAGUCCACGCCCUAAACGAUGUCAACUGGUUGUUGGGAAGGUUCCUUCUCAGUAACGUAGCUAACGCGUGAAGUUGACCGCCUGGGGAGUACGGCCGCAAGGUUGAAACUCAAAUGAAUUGACGGGGUCAUAGCUGUUUCCUG